rnacentral:rRNA from 1 species
GUGGGGAAUAUUGGACAAUGGGCGGAAGCCUGAUCCAGCCAUGCCGCGUGUGUGAAGAAGGCCUUUUGGUUGUAAAGCACUUUAAGCGAGGAGGAGGCUCCUUUAGUUAAUACCUAAAGUGAGUGGACGUUACUCGCAGAAUAAGCAACGGCUAACUCUGUGCCAGCAGCCGCGGUAAUACAGAGGGUGCGAGCGUUAAUCGGAUUUACUGGGCGUAAAGCGUGCGUAGGCGGCUUUUUAAGUCGGAUGUGAAAUCCCUGAGCUUAACUUAGGAAUUGCAUUCGAUACUGGAAAGCUAGAGUAUGGGAGAGGAUGGUAGAAUUCCAGGUGUAGCGGUGAAAUGCGUAGAGAUCUGGAGGAAUACCGAUGGCGAAGGCAGCCAUCUGGCCUAAUACUGACGCUGAGGUACGAAAGCAUGGGGAGCAAACAGGAUUAGAAACCCGAGUAGUCC